CCUACGGGUGACAGCAGUAGGGAAUCUUUCACAAUGGGCGAAAGCCUGAUGGAGCAACGCCGCGUGCAGGAUGAAGGCCUUCGGGUUGUAAACUGCUUUUAUAAGCGAGAAAUAUGAUGGUAACUUAUGAAUAAGGAUCGGCUAACUACGUGCCAGCAGCCGCGGUCAUACGUAGGAUCCGAGCAUUAUCCGGAGUGACUGGGUGUAAAGAGUUGCGUAGGUGGCAUAAUAAGUAGCUAGUGAAAUCUGGUGGCUCAACCAUUCAGACUAUUAGCUAAACUGUUAAGCUCGAGACCGUUAGGGGUAACUGGAAGUUCUAGUGUAGGAGUGAAAUCCGUAGAUAUUAGAAGGAACACCAAUAGCGUAGGCAGGUUGCUGGGACGGUUCUGACACUAAGGCACGAAAGCGUAGGGAGCAAACGGGAUUAGAUACCCGAGUAGUC
rnacentral:rRNA from 1 species